ensembl:lncRNA
UAGACUCUAUAGACAUAUAAAAAAAUAAUAAAAAUGACCAAAACUUUAACAAAAAAUAAGAAUAAAAAUACAGUUAUUUUAGUUAAUGUUUAUUUCAAGCAAUGAAAAUGUUUAUUUAUUUUGAAUGAUUUUAAUUAAUGGUAAUAACCGUGGUUCAUACUUCUUUCAGAACUAGUGUUGUAUUUAUUUCUGAAUACAGCUACCAAAUACUGAAAAGCUUCCAUCCAUAAACAUAUAUUUAUGUUCUGGUAUAAGCACACAUGCAUGUUUACUGUCUGAAAGAUGAUAUACGACAGACGUGUGGUGUUUUAUAUAACGCUAAUUAUAAUGACUACAAACCCGAAAGCAUUUUCAGAAUUUAAAGAUUCCUUUUUUCUUUCUCAAACGAGGACGUCUCCAGAUAUAACAUAAAAAGCGAAUGAAUAAAUGAAAAGCUCUGUCUUUGUCUGUGUUGGUGUGCAUGUGAAUGUUUGUCAGAUCUGUGCCGUUCAACCUCUGGCCUUCCGAGAGCUCCACCAUCUGUUGUGCUGUAAAAGUGGAGCACGUUCUGCGAAUCAUCUUCUCCUUCACACCAAACAUCGUUUUCUCUUCUGUAAUCCGCCGCUUUCCUCUCUUUGUCUUGCAGCUCCUGCAUCGGCCUCCUGAAGAAGACGAACGGAUGAAAGAUUCAUGAAGGAGGUGAAUGUUGGGGCACAACGAAACGAGCCGCUGCUCCAAACACUCGUCUCUCUUUCACCUGUGGCCCACCAGACGGCAGAACCGGUGUGUGAGCACAGACAGCACCAGCUGUGCUCUGGCUCGAGUGCUCGUCUCUCAGAGGGAAGCGUGGGUCCAGGUGUCUCGGCUGUGGCGUCGCCCGCAGUGCCGCCGUCGGCUGAGAGGGACGGAAGAGCUAAUCAGGCAGCAAAGCACUUCUGACGGACCGCAGAGAAAAUACAGCCACAAAACUACUCAGCACCCCACUCGUUUCAUUUAGCCCGCAGGAAAACCCGCCAGAGAGACGCUACCAUCGCUUUGAUGAUGAAGUUGUGAUGCACGCUCAACAUAAUAGAGCUUUCAUCCACCCAUAAAUAAAACUCUGACAGGCAAAUCA